rnacentral:rRNA from 1 species
GACCCCGCACAAGCGGCGGAGCAUGCGGCUUAAUUCGAUGAUACCCGUAGAACCUUACCUGGACUUGACAUAUAGGGUCAAGCUAUAGAGAUAUAGUGUGCAUUAGCGCCCUAUACAGGUGGUGCAUGGCUGUCGUCAGCUCGUGUCGUGAGAUGUUGGUUAAGUCCCGCAACGAGCGCAACCCCUGUCCUAUGUUGCCAGCAUUUAGUUGGGGACUCAUAGGAGACUGCCGGUGAUAAGCUGGAGGAAGGUGGGGAUGACGUCAAAUCAUCACGGCCCUUACGUCCUGGGCCACACACGUGCUACAAUGGCCGGUACAGAGAGCAGCCACGUCGCAAGGCGGAG